ensembl:lncRNA
CAGAUUGUGACUGCAGCCAUGAAAUUAAAAGACGCUUGCUCCUUGAAAGAAAAGCUAUGACAAACCUAGACAGUGUAUUAAAAAGCCGAGACGUUACUUUCCUGACAAAGGUCUGUCUAGUGAAAGCUGUGGUUUUUUCAGUAGUCAUGUAUGGAUGUGAGAGUUUGAUUAUAAAGAAAGCUGAGUGCUAAAGAAUUGAUGCUUUUGAACUGUGGUGUUGGAGGAGACUCUUGAGAGUCCCUGGGACUGCAAGGAGAUCCAACCAGUCCAUCCUAAAGGAAAUCAGUCCUGAAGGACUGAUGCUGAAGCUGAAACUCCAAUACUUUGGCCACCUGAUGCAAAGAACUGACUCAUUGGAAAAGACCCUGAUGCCGGGAAAGAUUGAAGACAGAAGGAGAAGGGGACAACAGAGGAUGAGAUGGUUGGAUGGCAUCACCAGCUCAAUGGACACGAGUUUGAGCAAGCUCCAGAAAUUGGUGAUGGACAGGGAUGCCUGGCGUGCUGCAGUCCAUGGGGUCGCAAAGUCUGACAUGACUGAGCAACUGAACUGAACUGAACUGAUAGAGAUAUAUGUAAAAAAUAGAGAUCGUCAUAGACUGAGAAUGUAUAAACAUAAAUACCAAACAAUAUAACAGCAAAAUGUUGUUAUAUAAGAUAUAAAUAUAACAGAGUUAAGUACUCUAGUUACCUUAGCCAUGAUUUAUGAAAUCAUAAAAAGUUAUAAGAUAUACAAGAGGAAUUUCAAAAAACAAUUAUAGCAGAAACUUUAAUAUAUUUCAGAAUUAGGCAAAUCUAGUAUAUAAAAAAUAUGGGAUAACAUAGGAGUUGAACAGUACAAUCAUUAAAUUUAAUGUCAUACCUAUGUAAAGAAUCUAAUAUCCCUUGAACAACAGCAACAAAACAUUUUUGAGUACCCAUAGGAUAUUUACAAAAAUCAUUCAUUUGACUGCAGAGAAAACUUUAACAGAUUCUAAAACCACAUUCUCUGAUAUUAAUAAAGUUGAAAACAAAUAAUGUAAGGAUGACCAAAAACCAUACAAAGAGGAAAUCAAAACAAAAUUGGAAAGUAUAAAGUAGUGAAAAAGAGAACACUUUAUACCAAAACCCAAAUGUCACAGCAGAAACUGUACUUAGAAGAAAAUCUAUAUCUUAAAUGUUUUAAUUAUUAAAGAAAAUAAUGUAAAAAAUAUGGGUAGUUUCUAUCUUAAGAAACUGGAGGCAGAGAAGAGUGACAAAGUAAACCAAAAGAAAUUAGGAAGAGGGAAUUAAGAUUAAAGCUAAACAAAUAGAACAAAAGUAGAUACUACAAAUAAAUAUAAAUGCCUUUCUCUGCAAAAGAUGAGGAAGAUCCCCUUUGAUUAAGAA